CCUACGGGAGGCAGCAGUGGGGAAUAUUGCACAAUGGGCGCAAGCCUGAUGCAGCAACGCCGCGUGCGGGAUGACGGCCUUCGGGUUGUAAACCGCUUUCAGUUCCGACGAAGCGCAAGUGACGGUAGGAACAGAAGAAGGACCGGCCAACUACGUGCCAGCAGCCGCGGUGAUACGUAGGGUCCGAGCGUUGUCCGGAAUUAUUGGGCGUAAAGGGCUUGUAGGCGGUUUGUCACGUCGGAAGUGAAAAACUCAGGGCUUAACCCUGAGCCGGCUUCCGAUACGGGCAAACUAGAGGAAUGCAGGGGAGAAUGGAAUUCCUGGUGGAGCGGUGGAAUACGCAGGUAUCAGGAGGAACACCGGUGGCGAAGGCGGUUCUCUGGGCAUUUCCUGACGCUGAGAAGCGAAAGCGUGGGGAGCAAACAGGCUUAGAUACCCUGGUAGUCCACGCCGUAAACGGUGGGCACUAGGUGUGGGGAACAUUCCACGUUCUCCGUGCCGAAGCUAACGCAUUAAGUGCCCCGCCUGGGGAGUACGGCCGCAAGGCUAAAACUCAAAGGAAUUGACGGGGGCCCGCACAAGCGGCGGAGCAUGCGGAUUAAUUCGAUGCAACGCGAAGAACCUUACCUGGGUUUGACAUAUACCGGAAAGCUGCAGAGAUGUAGCCCCCGCAAGGUCGGUAUACAGGUGGUGCAUGGCUGUCGUCAGCUCGUGUCGUGAGAUGUUGGGUUAAGUCCCGCAACGAGCGCAACCCUCCUCCUAUGUUGCCAGCGGAUAUUGCCCGGGACUCAUAUGAUACUGCCGGGGUCAAUUCAGACGACGGUGC
rnacentral:rRNA from 1 species